UUUCUGCUGGUGCCUGCAGCUCUCCCUGCACUCGGCAGUGAGUGGUGGGUGAGGUUUGCUGGUUCUCUGUGUGCUCCGUGAAGUGCUGGGCUGCUUUCCAGGUGUCAGGUCCUGCCUGAGCCGAGCCUGGAACGGUUGGUGACUGCCAGGUUUCACUUCCCCUUUGUCAUGCUCGAGGCUGGCAGCCCAGCAUGGAGUGCCAGGAGCCUUCACCAGCUCUCAGUGGCACGGGUACUCAGUACUAAAUUGAAGAAUGAGCAUUGAAUAGUUCCUCAGGUAGGUCUCAUUUUUACAAAGUAUAAAAACUCAGUUAAUUUUAAAGGUUUCUGUCCCAAAAUAGCCCUGUACUGUACUUUAAUAGUAAAGCAAUAAAAAACCUUCCCAUGAAGAAAGAAAGAAAGACAAUGUAAAAUAUUACAAGUUCCCAGACACCCAGGGCAUGACUAAUACUGGGAUGAGGAUUUUCUGACUGGUCAGAAAGCAAGAAAUAAUAAGAGGAUGCUCAUGCAAUUAACAGGGAGUGAGGGUUUGUGAUUUGUGGGAUUUUAGUUACCAGGCUAAAUUUAAACCCUUAAUUUACCUAAAUUAAAUUUGCUCAGUCUGGUUACAGCCUUUUCUCAGCCAAGUCUGAAAAUGAGCUCCAGUUGCACGUUAUUGCUCUUACUUUGGAGGUUUAUAAUUAUAACUUCAGCAAUUCCAGCAUGAUCAGAUGGUCUAAACUGAGGCAGUCACUCGUUACCCUGGGGAGGAUUUGGGGAGCCCAGGUCUGGGACAAAUUCAAGGCUUCUCUUCUUGCUCAUGCAGGCCCCCAGUGGUGUGGGUUCAAUGAGAGCAACUCUUAUUUCUGUAGAAAUGGUAUAAAAUAUGGUUUAUUGACUGGAUUUCCUCAUGAAGGUGCCCGUUAGCCCCAGCCAGGCCAGGCUGAGCUCUGGCUGCUCAGAGCCAGAACAAAAAGCACAGUUUGUGUCUGAGAGGGCUGGGGAGCAGAACAGAUGGGGCCGGACAGAUGGAGCAGGAGGGGACAGGGAGGGCAGAGCUCUGCUGGCCGGACUCCUGCAGGAACGGCAGCACAGCAGGGGUGGGGAAGGGCACGAGGGGCUGGAGCAGCUCCCAGGGAACGGGGGAGCAGAGCUGGGGCUGCUGGGGAGCCCGGGAAGGGCUGAGGAGGGGACCCCAAGGACCAGGAACUUCCAGCCCUCUGCCAGCCUGCCACCACGCCAGGCUGCUCCAG